UACAGAGGGUGCGAGCGUUAAUCGGAAUUACUGGGCGUAAAGCGUGCGUAGGCGGUUACUUAAGUCGAAUGUGAAAGCCCUCGGCUUAACUGAGGAAGUGCAUCCGAAACUGAGUAGCUAGAGUACGAAAGAGGGUCGCGGAAUUCCCGGUGUAGAGGUGAAAUUCGUAGAUAUCGGGAGGAACACCGGUGGCGAAGGCGGCGACCUGGGUCGAGACUGACGCUGAGGCGCGAAAGCGUGGGGAGCAAACAGG
rnacentral:rRNA from 1 species